AUCCUGGAAUUGUAGGCACAGCCUACACCUUCUGCUAAUUUGCAGCAUUUCAGGCUGUGUCUCCUAGAAAGAAUUUGUGGCUUGUUUCUGCUCUAGCUAGAUCUAGAGAAGCUGAGGAAGAAACGGUAAUUCCCGCAUAGCCGAGGAGCCCGGCCUAGGAAGCUUCCAUCCCAUUCUCAGAGGGAGGUUCAGCCACCGCACCUGUAGCCCAAGGCACUGGACCCCAGGCACGCCAUUUCUGGAGCUCUCUCGGGCCUCUCUAGCUGAAGGAAAGCGGGUAGUCUAGGUUCAGUCGGAGGCAUCCCCUCCAGGAUGUCAUUGCUCGGCUGAAACUCAGCCAGCAGCCGCCCUCCUGCCAGGCCAGGGCACCGCAGGACGCCCGGGCCUCCGGAGUCCGGGUGUGGCGCUUUCAUUCUCUCCUUCCCACUCAGCAUCUAAACAGCCCGGUCUGCAGUUUCCCAGGGUCUUCCGGGGACGUGCCUGCCUCUCCAGGGCCUGCCCUACCCCUGCUGAAAGUUAAGCCCUUCGAUGCGAUCACGAAGAAAGAGGCGACCCUCCCUCUGGCCCGCGAGUGGCCUCCCAGGGGCCCCUCCGAGAAUGCCAUCUCCCGCGCAGACCCGGCGCUCUGCGCUGCUGCGAAAGCACCCACCUGCCUCUUCGGGACAGAACUGCGCCGUGGCGGCGGGGACAGCCUGAGGGCAGCCGCCCUUACCCAUGAGGGCCAAUGCGGGGCGCAGCCUCCAAACCCGGGGUCUCACCUCUCCCAGAGGAAGGGGUGGACACGCCAGAGCCUGUCCUCGACCCCUUAAGAAGAAGAGAGUGGCAGCAAGGAGUCCCUCUAGUAAUCUCGAAGGGGCUUACACUGGCUCCCCGCGCCUCCUCCCCAAUCGGUCAAGCUGGGAACCCCGGAGGCUGCGCCUAGCGUUUCGUUAGCGUCUCUCCGCCUUCCUGAGGCUUUAGGCUCCUGCGCGGCUUUAUAUUCCCUUUCUCCCCGCCCGACGUGCCUGCACCCCGGACCCUGCCCGGCACGGCACCGGGCUGGGGUCCGCGGGCUGGGGAAGAGAAGGGGGGCUUUGGGUAGCUCGACCUGGCCGCCACAUCCCCGCCUGCAGGGAAACCCUCUCAAAGUCCCGGCGCGAGGGAUUGGGGGCCGGGAGGAGACCCAGCGGGGCCAGGAGUCUCGGGGUCCCUGUGGCGGACAGAGAGGGGGUUUAAGGGAGAGAUGGUCCCUCGCCUGGGGCCAUUUCCCCGGCUCUCCGAGCCUUUGCGGCGUGGGGAAAGAGCCGGCAUCGCCCAGCUCCUCGGCUCAGACCCGAGCUGUCCCGCGCCCAUACCUCUCCCCUUGGCUCUGCAAGCCGCCCUUUCCCCACCCCCACCCCCGCCGCCCCUCCCUUUCCGGGACCCACUGACCUUGGGAAGGCGCGGACCCGCGGCUGGCGGAGCCUC
rnacentral:lncRNA from 1 species